CCUUUGACCUCUGUCGUGCCAAUCCCAAAAAUAUGUGGGAGGGUUUUUUUUCUGGGUGUUGUACGUAGGGGGGCAUUUUUGUUUUUGUUCUCUUAUCCAACCUCUAUCCAACUGUUUGCAGGCGUAGUUCCUUUGAGCAUCCUUGUAUCGUCUGAUGAGGCCAAACGCAACUUCUCUCCUUGCGGAGAAUCAGAAGGGCUUGUUUUUAAGAGGAAGGAGGAAGGCAAGAAGCUGUGAAUGGCAUGUCUGCAUAUAUGGAAUUAUCUGACAAUAUUAAUAUGAUAAUCAUGAUUGACAUGUAUUCAGAAAGAGAUUAAGAAGAUAAUAACUGGAGGUUUCCAUGUUGAUGAUAUAUCAUUACAUUACCAUAUGAUUUUUCAUAUCAGUGAAGCGGUGAUCUUGAAGGAGAUCCUUGCAAGUUCACAGGAUUAUCACCAUAAGCCUGGCAUGAGGAGCAGAAAGAAAAAUGUAGCCAAGAACAACCUGCCAACGGAUUCAUCUCUUGUUAAUUAUGCGUAUAUUGAUGGAAGCACAAACAAGUCGUCGGCAAGUCAUCCUUGGCUGCAUCAAUCUUUAUGAUCCUCCAUGCAAGGCUGUUACAGUGAGACCACAGCAACUGAAGCAAGAAACAGGGACACUUUGCUUUGCAGACGUAGAAGGAGAGCUGGGAAGGAUGGGAAGAUAGAGGAAAAAGAUGGGACGAGAUUUUAAGGGAGCUUAUGAGCCUUAAAUACAAAUGAAGGGGCCACGAGCUGCAAUUUGUGAUAAAAUACACUGCAGUAUUUUGUGCCUAUUUAUCUGCUACCGAGGCAAUUGGGACAGCUCUUGCAAGAGGAUAUAGUUUUGGCCCCAGCUGGAUGAAGUAACAGAGGUCCUUUCUUUCAUUCUUUCGUUGCCAUUGAAUUAGUAGACUAAUCAUGAACUAAUCUUAUUAGCAAGCAACUAGUCAUUGAUUAAAGAAUGCAUGUUACACGAGGGGUUCUUUAAUCUGUGGAAAAGACCUGUUACUCCAGUAUGAGAAUUCAGAUUCAAGUCAUGUCAUUUGAUUGAUAUCUUGGA